UUUGCAAAAUAAUUUCAAUUGGAUUUAUAAUAUAAUAUUUAUAUUUCAUAAAUCAUCAACAUACAUAACAGUAAUAUUACAUUAUCAUUUUUUACAUAACAUCAUACCAAAUCUUAAACAAAAUAAAACUAACAUCAUAAAGACAAACUUCAAUCUAGUCUCCUCUAUGUGUUUUGCCUUUCUGUUAGCAUUCCCGUGCAUAAUCCAUGUAAGCAUUAUAAAGACAAACUUCAAUCUCCUUUCCUCCAAAACAACACAAAACCCUUUACUUGUCCUGUUUCCAAUCCUUUAAAAUUCUCAAAUCUAAGUCUAUAUCAUAAGAGCAAGUGAGCAAAUUGUUAGUUCUUAAUACAUUGACAUUGAAGUGAAUGGAAGCAAUGAAACUAAUAGAGAAGAGUAGUGUUUCAUCAAACCUCAUGUGUAUACAUUUUCAUUGGGAGAGGGUCGGCACUGGCUAAUCUAAUAUUAGUGACCUACAAGAUGAAAAAACAAUUGUUACUAACAACACUAAGAAUCAGACAUAAUUACGUCAAAAUGGAGAUCCAAUCACUUAGGGAGUAAAAGAAAUACAAAUGGCAAAACCGUGGAAUCUAGCAAAAGAUAAAGGUUCCUGAAACUAAGAUAUAAAACACAAACAAAAGAAUCUAACUACCACCAAAACAAGAGUGUAAAUUAGGCCAAGUAAUGCAAGAUAUGAAUCGCAAUGUCAAACGCUUAAAGAAAACAAUUGAAUCCUAUAUAAAAAAUACAGCCAAUAGAAGUGAAAAGAUGGAAAUAACCAUCACAUCUAAAGACGGAUAGACUCAUAACAACAAGAGCAGAGACACCUUGGAUGAGAAUGGACAUGGUCACGGAUGUACAAGUGAGCACACAUAUCUUCGACCAAAACCAAACACAUGUCUCCUUCAUGGCCAUUGUACAAGUGAACAAAACCAAACAUCUUCUCUCUGUAAUAUAUUUGAGCACACAUAUCUUCGACAGAUCUACCUAGUAUCAUGUCUUCAUACAACUCCAAUCCUUUCUAUUUGGUUAUCAACUAUUUCAAAACAAAUCAAGUGACUUCAAAAUUUAAAAUCUGGCUUCAAUUCCUUAAUCAAUACAAUGAAUCAAACCAUAAGAACAACCAAAGCUCACGUAACUAUCUAAUCCGGUUCAAUUAACAAAGGAUCAGAAUCCAAAUGUUAUAAAACUCAUCUAAGAGACAAAAAAGAAGCAAUUUUUAAGUGAUUUAAGAUGGGAAAAGAGAAAACUUGAUUGAGCAAACAUCAGAUACAUAAAAAUUGAGCAAAAGGGUUAUGAGAGAAUCUAACCAAUCUGCUAGAACGAAGAGCUUGGACGUUAACGAUUCCUUUUAGAAGUCUACUCGAACAGCUUGGUGGAUUUCUUCUUCUUAGACUUCUUGGAUAGUGACGACGGGAGAUCGACAGUGGCGGUGGAGUGGUUGAAUAUGCAAGAAGAAUUAACGGUGAGAGAACGAGCAGAUUUGAGGAAAGGAGGAGGAGCCAAUCAGAUCGGAAGCAAUUGACGAUUCUCUUGAGAUCCAUGUAGAGGAACAGUGGCAGUGAGCAUAGUGGGAGUGAAAGCCGUAGCCAUUAUCGUGUAUCAAUGAAAACCCAAAGAGAUUCACGGAUUCGGAGAAAAUUUUCUGGGAAACUAGAAGAGAGCAUAGAUGGGCGGAGAGUACAAGAUAGGGAGAUGAGAAAAAAUGAAUGAGAAGAAAAAAAAAAGAAAAAUUAGGGUUUGUUUGGUCAUAAGUGAUUUUUAUUAUUUUGGUUAGGCGGUAAGUAU
rnacentral:lncRNA from 1 species